GGUAGCCCGUUUUCCUCCUUCUUUCUAUAUAAUACAUCACAAACAGAGAGUAGAGAAAUUGGCUGAGAGAACUGUAUUCUCAGGAAAGCUGGGUGAACACAAACAACAACAACAAAAAACAAUGAAAGGAAAUAUAAUCACAGCAGCCCUUGGGAUAGCCACUCAUAUACGACUACUGAAACACAAACAAGUAUGUAAUUUGUCUGAAAUCACGUGGCGAAAACUGGCAAGAGCAGGAUUCAAACACAGGCACUAAGGCUACGAAGUCCACCCUCCUGAUCACUAAACUGCAUCGCCUCCUGAGAACUUCUUGCCAAGUAAAAGAAUUCUGAAGGAAGAACAUAAUUUGCAAGAUUUAGAACCACAGCAAGCCAAAAAUAGCCACCUCUCCAGAAGACUGGCCCAAAUACAAGAGGAUAAAGGUUGGAGAGUGCACCAAGACAGAGCACACAGAAACAGUGGAAAUAAUGCCCAGUAAUUUAGUGCUGACUACUCAAUUCACCUGGAAACAAUGCCUUAAAAUCUUCCAGCUUUAGCUUCCUUACUUCUCAGCUGCAGAUUUUUUAAUUAUAAAUCCAUAUUAAAAUGUGGUUAAAAUACACGAUCCAGACUUGUAAUCUGGGUUCCAUUAUUUUCCAACUAUGUCAAUUUAAGCAAAUUAUUUAACCUCUGAGAGGCUCAACUUCCUCCUCCAAAAAAAAUGAGGAAAACAAUGGAGUUAUUCUGAGGACUAAUGAACUAUGCAUAUAAAUAUAUAAAGCACUCAGAGUUACAACCAGUGUAUAAUAAAAGCUCAAGGUUAAUUAUUAUUGUUUUUCAUAAUCAUCAUGACUUUUAGUAUUAAUAUCACGGUUUUUUUUUUACUAAAACUGCCAACUUUUCAAAAACCUCUCCAAGAAGAGCUGCUAUUUUUCCUGAGUUGAUUGGAAAAAGCAAAGGCAACCUCUGCUGGUUUCAUAUAAACAUUAUCAAAUCAAUGAAUCACCAACUCCCUAUGAGAUGGAAGAUGGAGGUUAUCAGGCAUGCCUUUCAAAAAAAGAGCUUUUUUGAAAGGCAUGCCUAAUAAAAAAAA